UAUGCUGGAGAAGAGGGCAUGGAUACCUAGUUCAGGAGGAUAUUUGUCUGCUUUUGGAGUACUUUAGGGCUGCAGAGACCAUUAUUUGUUGGAGUCUCCACAUUAUUGUCGUAUGAAAGAGGAUCUAUAAUUGCAUUGCCUGUGAAAACCUCGAGGCUUUGUUGUGGGAGGAUUACUUGUUUAUUUAGCCUGUGUUUAUGCUUCAGUUCAAAUCUGUUAGAGAUAUCAUUAGAUCUGAUUGUUGGAUGUUUUUGACAAUCUCAUUUAGUUUUUGCUAUUACUUUUUAAAUAUUGCAUCAACCUUUGAUUUGUUUAGAUAAUUAAACUUAAAUCAUAUUAAUAAAUUAAUCUUAUUAAAAAAUAUAUAAUUUCAAAUAAAUAAACAGUCUAGACAAAUCAAAACUUAAAAUAUAUUUGUUCUACUGAUCAUACUAAACAAAUAAUUCUCCCAAUAAUAAAACUUCGAAGUUUUCACAGACAAUAAGAUUGAACGUCCUCUUUUGAAUGGAAAUGUGUAGAGACUCCAACAAGUAAUUUAUGCAUACAAGAGAUGAAGGUAGAUAUGAGAAUGAAUUGGGCAUCAGUGGAGAUGAUGCAGUUGGACUUUCUGGAGCGUUCUGUUCAUUUCCAAUGAAAAGUGAUGUAAUGGCAGUAAUUGAAUCUGAUUUGGGGUUAGAGGGAGGAUCAGAUACUAUACUGUUGAACAUUGAUAUGGGCAUGGAGUUUUUUUAUGUUCCAGCCAUCUAAAUGGAUUAAUUUAUUAUAUAUGUGGAUAAUAAUGUGUCAUUAUAUAGGAGGAUAGAAAUAGUAAUCAUUAUAGUUUGUAAAAGUCAAAUAUGUAUAGUUUGUAAAAGUCAAUUAUAUGACAUAUUUGAUUUGUUCAAUAUGUAAGGCUUUUUAAGAAUAUCAAGUUUUAUAGUUGAUAACUA